UACGUAGGGUGCAAGCGUUAAUCGGAAUUACUGGGCGUAAAGCGUGCGCAGGCGGUUAUGUAAGACAGGGGUGAAAUCCCCGGGCUUAACCUGGGAACUGCAUUUGUGACUGCAUAGCUAGAGUACGGUAGAGGGGGAUGGAAUUCCGCGUGUAGCAGUGAAAUGCGUAGAUAUGCGGAGGAACACCGAUGGCGAAGGCAAUCCCCUGGACCUGUACUGACGCUGAGACGCGAAAGCGUGGGGAGCAAACAGG
rnacentral:rRNA from 1 species